rnacentral:lncRNA from 1 species
UCUAAUUUGUGGUUUUCCUGCUUAAUGGCGCUCAACUUGGUUGACGUUCCGGCCUUAGCUUCCCAUCCAUGCGGUCCAGUGGUGCCCGUUCCUCUGCUGUUUUGUUGCGAGGGCGUAGCUAGCUUCGAACGACGAGGCGUACAAGUGGGCCCUACAGGAUGACGACGAGCGCGAGGUCGCCGGGCGGCUCCUGACCCUCACUGAGAUCAUUGGUUGUGAGUGCAAGAGACAGAUCUUUCAAAUUUCAAUCACGUUUUAUCCCACUUCCUAUUCGGGAUUUGCUUAGUGUUACGUUUUUCAGUAGGGGAAGAGAUGAGCAUGAUGUUGAAGAUGACGAAGGCGAGGAAGAUGGGGAUAGCGUGCAGUUGACAGUUCCAUCACAAUCAUUGUUUGUUGAUUUAUGUGUAUGCUUGGGCAAUUAUGCAGCUUUUACAUGAAGAUUAUAACCCUUUUAUUUUAUUCAG